ACAGAGAUAGCUUGCUAUCUGCUGACGAGCGGCGGACGGGUGAGUAAUGCUUGGGAAUAUGCCUUAUGGUGGGGGACAACAGUUGGAAACGACUGCUAAUACCGCAUAACGUCUACGGACCAAAGGGGGGGAUGCUUCGGCACCUCCCGCCAUUUGAUUAGCCCAAGUGAGAUUAGCUAGUAGGUGAGGUAAGAGCUCACCUAGGCGACGAUCUCUAGCUGGUUUGAGAGGAUGAUCAGCCACACUGGGACUGAGACACGGCCCAGACUCCUACGGGAGGCAGCAGUGGGGAAUAUUGCACAAUGGGCGAAAGCCUGAUGCAGCCAUGCCGCGUGUGUGAAGAAGGCCUUCGGGUUGUAAAGCACUUUCAGCGAGGAGGAAAGGUUAGUGGUUAAUAGCAACUAGCUGUGACGUUACUCGCAGAAGAAGCACCGGCUAACUUCGUGCCAGCAGCCGCGGUAAUACGAGGGGUGCAAGCGUUAAUCGGAAUUACUGGGCGUAAAGCGUGCGUAGGUGGUUUGUUAAGCAAGAUGUGAAAGCCCUGGGCUCAACCUGGGAACUGCAUUUUGAACUGGCAAGCUAGAGUUUUGUAGAGGGUAGUGGAAUUUCCAGUGUA
rnacentral:rRNA from 1 species